rnacentral:rRNA from 1 species
GGAGUCUGGACCGUAUCUCAGUUCCAAUGUGGCCGUUCAACCUCUCAGUCCGGCUACUGAUCGUCGACUUGGUAGGCCGUUACCCUGCCAACUAUCUAAUCAGACGCGAGCCCAUCUGCCUGCAAUAAAUCUUUGGCACACUCACCAUGCGAUGUCUGUGCGUCAUGCGGUAUUAGCACAAGUUUCCCUGUGUUAUCCCUCACAGGCAGGAAGGUUGCUCACGCGUUACUCACCCGUCCGCCACUAAGUCAUAUAUACUUCCAUCCGAAAACUUCCGUCUAUAUGCUUCGUUCGACUUGAAUGUGUUAUGCACGCCGCCAGCGUUCAUC